UUCAGUCCAGGGCUGUGUUUCUCUGGCUGUGUGUUCAGUCCAGGGCUGUGUUUCUCUGGCUGUGUGUUCAGUCCAGGGCUGUUAACCAACCCCAAACCCAGCUGAGCUAACUGCCGCUCUGCGAUCCUGUCAUUGAAGACAGGAGGAAACUGGACGGACUGGAAGAACUAGUGGACGGAGAGAAAGAGAGAGAGAGAGAGAGAGAGAGAGAGAGAGAGAGAGAGAGAGAGAGUAUACUAGGUACUACUACUACUAGGUAUCCCCCCUUUCCCUUUCCAACUGACUAGGUAUCCCCCCUUUCCAACUGACUAGGUAUCCCCAUUUCCCUUUCCAACUGACUAGGUAUCCCCCCUUUCCAACUGACUAGGUAUCCCCAUUUCCCUUUCCAACUGACUAGGUAUCCCCCCUUUCCCUUUCCAAAUGACUAGGUAUCCCCAUUUCCCUUUCCAACUGACUAGGUAUCCCCCCUUUCCCUUUCCAACUGACUAGGUAUCCCCCAUUUCCCUUUCCAACUGACUAGGUAUCCCCCAUUUCCCUUUCCAACUGACUAGGUAUCCCCCCUUUCCAACUGACUAGGUAUCCCCCCUUUCCAACUGACUAGGUAUCCCCAUUUCCCUUUCCAACUGACUAGGUAUCCCUCCUUUCCCUUUCCAACUGACUAGGUAUCCCCAUUUCCCUUUCCAACUGACUAGGUAUCCCCCCUUUCCCUUUCCAACUGACUAGGUAUCCCCCAUUUCCCUUUCCAACUGACUAGGUAUCCCCCUUUCCCUUUCCAACUGACUAGGUAUCCCCCUUUCCCUUUCCAACUGACUAG
rnacentral:lncRNA from 1 species